rnacentral:rRNA from 1 species
UACGAAGGGGCUAGCGUUGCUCGGAAUUACUGGCGUAAAGCGCACGUAGGCGGCUUUCUAAGUCGGGGGUGAAAUCCUGGAGCUCAACUCCAGAACUGCCUUCGAUACUGGAAGCUCGAGUCCGGGAGAGGUGAGUGGAACUGCGAGUGUAGAGGUGAAAUUCGUAGAUAUUCGCAAGAACACCAGUGGCGAAGGCGGCUCACUGGCCCGGUACUGACGCUGAGGUGCGAAAGCGUGGGGAGCAAACAGGG